GAUGAACGCUGGCGGUAUGCCUAACACAUGCAAGUCGUACGAGAGUUUUUAACUCAAGUGGCGGACGGGUGAGUAACACGUGAGAAUCUGCCUUUAGGAGGGGGACAACAACUGGAAACGGUUGCUAAUACCCCAUAUGCUUUCGAGUGAAAUGAAUUUAUUCGCCUAAAGAGGAGCUCGCGGCUGAUUAGCUUGUUGGUAGAGUAAUAGCCUACCAAGGCGACGAUCAGUAUCUGGUUUGAGAGGACGAUCAGACACACUGGAACUGAGACACGGUCCAG
rnacentral:rRNA from 1 species